GACUCUCGGCAACGGAUAUCUCGGCUCUUGCAUCGAUGAAGAACGUAGCGAAAUGCGAUACUUGGUGUGAAUUGCAGAAUCCCGUGAACCAUCGAGUCUUUGAACGCAAGUUGCGCCCGAAGCCAUUAGGCCGAGGGCACGCCUGCCUGGGUGUCGCA
rnacentral:rRNA from 16 species